rnacentral:rRNA from 1 species
UUGAAAGGGAAACGAUUGAAGUCAGUCGUACCGACGAAAAUCAACUUCUCGAGUGCCUAUCGUGGGUGACGUUGAGCUUCACGGCCUUCGUUGCUUGUGUUGUUGGUGCUUUUGGGGUGUACUUUUCCGUAUGGUAGGUCAGCAUCGAUUUUGAUCGUCAUAAAAUGAUCGGGGGAAUAUAGCUUCGGUCUCGUAUCGGAGUGUUAUAGACCUUGGUAGAUGUGACAAUUGGGAUCGAGGAUUGCAACGAAUACCUUUUUGGGCUAUCCGUCUGACCUCUGAAAGUCGCCCGGGGGUCGAGAGC